GGUUGUUUAAGAGCCGCGGUAUUCUGACCGUGCAAAGGUAGCAUAAUAAUUAGUUCUUUAAUUAAGAACUUGUAUGAAGGAUUAGAUAAGGGAGUAGCUGUCUUUAUUGUAUGAUUUGAAGUUAAUUUUUAAGUGAAAAAGCUUAAAUGUUUCAGGGGGACGAUAAGACCCUAUAAAGCGUUUUAUUGGGGCGAUAUGAGUAUAAUUUGUAACUGCUUUAAAUUUAUACAUUAAUAGGUGAAAUGAUCCUUUUUGGAGAUUUCAAGAUCAAGUUACUUUAGGGAUAACAGCGUUAUUUCUUUUGAGAGUUCAUAUCGAAAAAGGAGUUUGCGACCUCGAUGUUGAAUUAAAAUGUCUGUAUAGUGCAGUCGCUAUAUAAGAGGGUCUGUUCGACCUUUAAAUUUUU
rnacentral:rRNA from 1 species